ensembl:lncRNA
AUGCAGAUUAGGGGGAGGCUGGUUUGCGUAAUGUCCUCACGAAAGGGGGGGGGGAGCUCGGGAGAGGUGGAGGGAGGAAUGUGCAUGGUUACUAAUGAGAGACAUGCACAGCGCACACACGGCUACUGCUGCUGCUGCUGCUGCCUGUCCCCGUUGCAAGGUUGGAGAUUCUGCCUGACUCACCAGAGUGAAGGAUGAGGAGAAUUUGUGACUGGCUAGGAGGCUGCUACCUGCAGAAAACAGAUCUCCAGGUAGGAACACAAAAUUUUUAUCUUUAAUUAUUUCACAAUAGUUGUUUUUACAAAAAAAAUGAGAUCAUCUUUCAUUUUUAAUAAGCAAUGCAAAAAAACUCUGAGUAUACAACAUUCAUAUUAUUUAGAUUCCUAAACUUAUUUCAUUUUCAGUGAUUUUAAAUUAAAAAAACCUAUAUAGCCAAGGACGGAAGGGAUACAAAAAAAAUUGAUAAGACAAAACAAAACAAAACUUUCAUAGAUGAUCUCUCAGAUAGAUUGGAAUAUUCUUAUCAUGUAGGAAAUGAUGAGCUGGUUGGUUUAGAAAACAUAGAAAGACUUGGUCCUAUGAAGGAAGAUCCACCUUCAGAGAAACAAAUGAUAGAAAUAACAAAGUACAGUCUUACAUAUAUGUGUAUAUUUAUAAAUGUUUAUAUAUCUGCAUAUGUUUUCACAGCUAAGUGUCUUUAGGAUGGGUGGAAGUGAAGGGAAAAAUAAAGUCAGAAGUGCAUCGCAGAAAACAAAAGAAAACCAACAAGGGAAGCAAAGCGUUUAGCAGCUUUGAAAACAAUGUGUAGUAUUUCUUAUAAAGGACUUCUUGAAAUGGAAAUUUAUUGCUUUAUAUUGAAUUCUCUUAUGGUCUGCUGUGUACACAGCAGUGAGGUUUUUAAAAUUUUUUCUUUUCUUAUUUUUUAUUUAAGUUUAAAAUAAAAAAAAUCUGCAAAAAAAAAAUUCAUAGAUUUGUUUCCAAAUGACAUAGGCUAAUAGCUUAAAAAAAAAAAAAAAACGCAGAAAGCUUUACUGAAUUUUUAAAUGAAUUCACAAAGUGGGUUUGCAGUUUUAAAAAUAAAACCUCUAAGAGAUAUGAUUUUAGUUUUUGAAGACCAUCUGCUUGGGGGGAAAAAAACAUAUCAGAGAGUAAGACAUUACUCAGAAUUGUCAUUUCAGAAAGGAACUGUUAGAAAACAGCUACCGUCUACAGGAUAUUGUGUAUAAUUGGCAACAUGUUUGCUAAACCUGAAUUAUAUUUUGUCUCUUUAAUGAUUCUAGAAUAUCCCAAGAUUACAAACUAAUUCUGACACAAAAGGGAAAGGAAAGUCCACAAAUCAUAUACCCUUGGAAAUGGGCUCAGUCUGUGACUUACUAAAUUUACCAGAGCAAAAAUCACUCUACCAGUAUUCUCACACAAGAUGAAAUUUGUGAAAUUUCAUAAAUUCUGGUUGAGAACAAAGAUCCAAAGCUGAAAAAGUUUAGAAAGAAUUUUAUUAAGUCAUUUGGCAGAGAUCUUAAAAAAAAAAAAAAAAAAAAAAAAAAAAAAAAAAAAAAAAGGUGUGGCUACUCUCUCAAAUGCCUGUGCGAUUUACAUUACAGUAUAUAGAGUUCAAACAAGGACUUAGAGAAGAGAGUUUAUUAAGUGAGUUUUAAAAAAGGUGGGGGAGGUUCCCCAGGGAAAGUUGUUUGACAUGAAUAUCAACAAGUAUAAUAUUCAAUAAAAUUUGGGUAAAGCCAAAACCCAAGCUACUGGGGAACCCAAAAUACAGGCUUUGAGUGGAACCUAAAACACAAGUGUUUUGAAUAGACUCUAAACCUUGAUGGAACCAAAACAUUCCUUGCAGCCAUCUUACUUCUCUAGUCACUGAAGUUGGUGUCACAUUCCGAGUUUAAACAAUAUCUAGUCGCAGAAAGACUUGAUUCAAACAAUAAUUAAUAAGAUUUUCCAAACAUAAUAUUUUUACAUGUAAGAAAACAGAACAGAUAUGGAAUAUGCAGGUCAAGAUGCUGGGAAUCUGAACUACACAUGGAACAUUUAUCAUGCAGUGAUUUUUGCCCCCUGUAAUAGGAAGUAUAAAAAUAAGAUCCAUCUCCAUCUAAAACUACAAAGAUUUUACUUCCAUAGCAACAUGAAGGACCCAGUUCUGCUGGAGGUGUGUGUAUACUAAUGCAUUCAGAGCUCAGGGUUGGAAGUGACUUGGAAAAAAAGCAACCCUUUAAAUUUUGCCCACGCAUUUAUGUGUGUAUAUAUAAUAAGGCCUUUGUGUGGGGAGACCAGAAUUUAAGAGCAUGUACGCUUCUCUCUCUUCUUUAAAUGAUCUAGCAUUCACCGCCUACUUCCCCUCCCCUUUCCAGAUAUGAAGUGAAAAUCUGCAAUUAUAAAAUGUUACUGGGAUAAAAAAAUUCUUCUUUUCUUUUUAAUGUCAAAUAGUUUGUUACCAAGGGGGGAAAAGCAACCCCCACAAAGAAUAACAGCACCACUAGGGUUUAUGAGGCCAUUGGGAUGCUUGUUCCAUAGGUUAUUUUAGUGAAGUUGGCUUCAUAGCUAAGCUAAAACAAC